GUAGGGUGCAAGCGUUGUCCGGAAUUACUGGGUGUAAAGGGAGCGCAGGCGGGAAGACAAGUUGGAAGUGAAAACCAUGGGCUCAACCCAUGAAUUGCUUUCAAAACUGUUUUUCUUGAGUAGUGCAGAGGUAGAUGGAAUUCCCGGUGUAGCGGUGGAAUGCGUAGAUAUCGGGAGGAACACCAGUGGCGAAGGCGGUCUACUGGGCACCAACUGACGCUGAGGCUCGAAAGCAUGGGUAGCAAACAGGAUUAGAUACCCUGGUAGUCCAUGCUGUAAACGAUGAUUACUAGGUGUUGGGGGAUUGACCCCCUCAGUGCCGCAGUUAACACAAUAAGUAAUCCACCUGGGGAGUACGACCGCAAGGUUG
rnacentral:rRNA from 1 species